AAGCAUGAAGCCCCCCUCAAGAUGAGAUUUCCCAACUUCGGUUAUAAGAUCCCUCGAAGAUGACGAGGUUAAUAGGUUCGAGGUGGAAGCGUGGUGACACGUGGAGCUGACGAAUACUAAUCGAUCGAAGACUUAAUCAAUUUU
rnacentral:rRNA from 1 species